rnacentral:lncRNA from 1 species
ACUGAAAGGAGGAGGUGGAGGUGGUGGUGGGGAUCCAUAACUCAGUGGAGGAGGCGGCGGUGGGGGUGGAGAUCCAUAACUCGGUGGAGGAGGGGGAGGUGGGGGUGGAGAUCCAUAACUUGGUGGAGGAGGGGGAGGGGGAGGCACUGAAUAUGCAUUACUAAAAGGAGGAGGUGGAGGUGGUGGUGGAGCUGUUUUACUAGGUGGAAGAGGUGGAGAUCCAUAACUUGGUGGAGAAGGGGGAGGGGGAGGUACUGAAUAUGCAUUACUAAAAGGUGGAGGUGAUGGUGGAGCUGUUUUACUAGGUGGAAGAGGUGGAGAUGGAGAAGUGGAAAAACCAUUAAUAGGAAGGAUCUUGAGUGCUGGUGUAGGUGCAACACUCGUAUAAGGCAGAGGAGGUGGAGGGGGGAUGUGAUCUCCAUUUGCUUUUGUUGUAUUUAAUGAGCUAAAAGGAGGAGGAGGUGGUGGUGGUGGGGAAGAAGAUGUAGAGCACGCCUCAUGAGUAUCAAAAGACAAAGCAUACACAGACUUCCAAGGUGGUGGAGGUGGUGCUGGAGGCAACAAAGUUUCACUGUUUCGCCUCACAGAUGCAAACGGAGGUGGUGGAGGAGGAGGCGGUGGCGAUGGUAGCUGAGAUGUUUGAGAGUCACUGCUCUUUUGACCGACUGAAUAGUAUGCAGGCGGAGGUGGUGGUGGAGGUGGUGAAGAGGUAGGAAGUUGAGAAGGAGAACAUAUUGCAGGAGUCGCCAAAGCUGACACAUACACAGACUUCCAAGGUGGAGAUAGUGGUGAAGGAGGCAACACAGUUCCACUGUUUGGUCUCUCAGAUGAAAAAGGAAGAGGUGGCUGUGGUGGUGGUGGUGGAGGCAACACAGUUCCACUGUUUGGUCUCUCAGAUGAAAAAGGAGGAGGUGGCGGCGGUGGUGGUCGUGGGAGCUGAGAUGUUUGAUAGUGGCUGUAAGUAGGUAAUGGCGGUGGUGGCGGAGGAGGAGGUGGCGAUGCAACUGCUUGUGAAGAGUGUAAAACGGAUGUGGCCUCACUGGUUAGAGAAGGCAGGGGUGGAGGAGCCUGAUGAGGAGACGCAGCAGGUAGAGAAGACGGCUUUUCCUUCGGGCUAGAAUCUGGUGAUGAACAAAUUGGAGCUCGACUCCUCAUAUCCGGUGAAGAAACAGACGCUCUCAGAUAUUUAGUCUUAGCAUCCUUUGGAAUCACACCAUCAGGUGAUGUAGCUCUUUUACCAUCCUUGAGAGAAGUGGUAAUUGAGGCAGGAGCAUUGUUAAUUCUUGUCGGGGGAUAAGCCACAUGCAUAGAAUCUUUAUAUGAGCCCUUAUUUGAAGGAAUCCAUCGAGAGACUGCGUUAGGAUUAGCCAUUCUUACAUUAGGACCCUGAGUUUCUUGCUGCUUAGACUUCGGUUUAAGUGAAUCUCCAGCCAGUUUUGCAUUUGCUCCGACCUGUUUCCUUAGUGUAGCUUGUGUUUUUUCGGAUAUGGGUUUGUUGAGACUAGUACUUGUUUUCUGACUCAUAGAUUCCAAAUCAUUGCUUUCCUCAUCACCUUUGCAUUGAGUCUCUACUGUUCUAGAAUCAUUUUCCUUUGCUUCCAUGGUUCUUCUCUUUCGCUGCUCAUCACCAUCAUCUAUUCCUAUAUCCUUCACUGAGUCGAUAUUAGAAUCUGCCUUCCCAUCCGAUCUAUACUGUACAUCAUCCACAGUGAUAUCUUUGACUGGAUCCGUGCUAGUCUCUGCAUGCAUAUCAUGUUUAUGAUUUGAAUCAUCUGAUGCACAAUCUAGAAACGCAUUGGGUUCCACAUCCCCCUUCCACACCUCUUUACCCUCAGAAUCAUCUGAAGCAGUAUCAACAACCACAAAACUAUCCGAGUCUCUCUUAUGGUCAGGUCCAUCAAUCACAUCGCUAAAGAUCUCCUCCACCUCAAAAAAUUCUUCAGGUGAAGUAAUAUCAAAAUCAUUCUCAUCAUCUGAUAUUGUAGAAGUUGUAAUAGGAGGCACCACGGCAUCAGCGCCAGAGAAAAGUACCUGAUACAUAUAUGAGUAUGCAUUCAAACUUAACAGUCUUAUUCAAUAGGUGAUCAGAGAAAAUUUUACAACGGCCUACCUCUGCCUUAAAUUCCUUUGGGAACUGGUCCUUGACAUCCCAAAGUAUGUCCAUCUCAUCGCGUUGGAGCAUUAAAAUAUUAGCUCGCACAAAAGCCGUGUGGAACAUGAUUCUGAAAACUAUCUCCUCGCUCACCAAAUCAUCAUGCAAAUGUAUACAUUCCAGUACAACAUCCCCUUGAACGCGGCACUGUAUAUCUAAUUUCACCAGGAUACACUCUUCCUGCAGAUGAGAUCACAAAUUUGCGCAUAUUUCUUCAGUAGAGAAGCAUUUAACUGGUACAAUAAAUUACCAAAAAAAACUCACAAAACUAUAAUCUAUCCCUUACUGAUAUUUUUAAUCCGCACAAGACAGUGUGAUGAUUACAAUGGUCGGGAAAGUACCUGUUGGUAGAGACGAGUGUGUUUCUUUGUCUUUAGUGUGGAGAAGAGAAGUAUGGAACUCCUGUUGGUUCGGGCUUUAGGGUCCUGCCCAUAAACCCGUAAAAUUGGUCUGCAACCUUUUCUCCCUUCAAAAUGUGGGAGAUCUCUGAGAAUCAAGCAGUCCAAAAGAAGAGGUGUGUCCGAAGGAGGCCAAUCAGAGCCUAAAUUUCUUCUAGAAAUGUACUGAAGAUAUCUGAGUUGAGAAGGCUGUGGGUUUAGAGGAGACAAUAGAUGAAGAAGCUCCUUAGGAGCCUGUUUGUGUACCAUCUCAAGAGUCUUCUGCUCGCCAUGAUACUGCUUUCUGUACAAUAAAAGCCCCGAUAACAUAAAAGCAAGAACAGGCCAACCACCUCUUUCACAAUGCAUCAACAGUACAUUUUGUUGACCUUCCAAGGAUAACCAGCUUUCACUCGAUCUUAGAAAGUGAUGGAUCAUCUCGAGAGGUAAAAGCGGACAACUCUCAUACUGCCGUGGAUAAUCCAUUACCGUCAUAUCGUAUUGGGACAACACGUCUGAUAUUUGACUCCGCUGUUCCCCCUCUCUAAAGUUAAACACCAUGAAAGAUGCAUCUGGGAAAUGGUCCUGUAGCUGCGCCACGAUGCCACCCAAGUAUACUUUGUACUCAUCCUCCCCCAUAACAUCGCUAGAGAAACAGCAGUCAAAAACUGCAAAGAAGAAGAAAAAAACAAGAGAAGUUUAUGAGAUCAUCAGCUCUGAAACCUUGAACUACUCCAGCAAAAUAUAAGUUACUAGAAAAUGGAAACACAAAUCUCCAAGCUCUGAAAAAUUUAUCACUAUCCGCGAGUGCAAUCCAGAAGCUGAAAUAAACUCUUUUUCCAAAGAACUAUCAUCGUCGAACAUUAAAGGAAACAAUAGAAUAUCCCACAAAGCUAUAAAUUGUCUUCAAAGAGAUUCUGAUUCCUAAACCUCUUUAAGCUCAAAUAGGCAUCCAUUUGCAAAGCUAUACUCAAAUUCUCAUCCCAAUCAAACUGCCAAAAACCCACCACCCUCCAGAAGCUCGUAGCAAUUUUGAUCACAUGCCCAUAUAUCAUCAAUUACAAGAACAAAUCCGGCAACAAGUUCAUCUUUUUAUAGAUGCUUUGAACCUAGAAACAGAGGAAAAGGGAGGAGUUAUUACCAUAGACACGCUCGGAGAUCUCGAGAAGCCGAUCCGGAGGCUUUUUGUAGAAGAAGCGACGGAACAGCGCCAUGGGAUGGCGCUGUCUCUCCCCCGAUCAGAUCCAAACCGUCGAUUUAGUAAACCAACAAGCAGAUCAUUCUCGAUUGCUCCAAUUCCGUUGACCUAAACCCCAGAUCCCCUUUCUUCUCCCAAAAUUCAGGUCACAAACCCUAAUUUCUCACCCCUAGCAAAAAAAGUUGACAAAUUUCGCAAAAUUACAAGAGCGUGAUAAAGACCCAAUCCCCAGAAAUUCCUUAUCUCCCUCUCUCUAUCCACCAAUAAUCCAAUUUUGGAAACAACAACGCAAGUCGUAAUCACAACGCCAAACCCCAAAGUUGAGAAUUUUUCAAAAUAGUUUUGUUCCAAAUGACUCGAUCUCUAUGUACAAUGUCGAAUCUUCUCUCAAUCGUGGGAACAAAGAAUCUUCGAAGCUAAUCAAAAAGUUGUUAAAAAUAAAAAUAAAGAGAGAUAGAGAGAGAAGGAAGUGACAGUGAGAUGAAGAAUUUCAGGUGAAAAAAGGAGAAAGAUUGGAGCAGAAAUGAAAAAAAAGAUCGAAGAAACCAGAUUUCGACAAAUCUUCCAGCAGUUUUUUAUGUUUUGUCAAAAAAAUUAUUAAUAUUUUUUUAUUGACAAAAGGGUUUAUUCAUAUUUUUAGAGGUAUUUAAUAAUAGCAAACAAAAAGCUUUUUUGAUUUUCCAUAGUUGCGUAAUUGAAAUUGAACUCUACGGAACGAACGUAAGCGUAGUGGACUUUAGAGAAAGAGCGAGACUUGGUUCAGACACACGACCAGACCCUUCUCUGUCUAACAUCUAGGAGGUGUUGUCUAAGCCUACGUGGAAACGUAAAAAACUAUAUUUAUAAUUACAACCACGUUUUUUUUACGAUCAACUUGUGAAUUUCCCAUCUGUCGAAACACGUUAUUAUUGAUUUAAAAUAAGUCACUGCAAACAUCAUUAAGUAAUCCCCAAUUGCCAUUAUUAUAUCACAUUUACAGUAGUAUAUAAUUGAAUCGGUAUUAGUAACCCUUAACAUUCAUGUCUGGUUGCUAUUUUUUCAUGAUGUAAAACUUUAAUAAAGGAGUGGGGAAUGUCUGUGUCUUACGAGACCAUAUUUUUUUACCAGUCAGUCUCGUUUUAAUCAGCCGAGACCUACAUAUUAAAGGUUGGGCUUAAUUUUAACGGCCCAUUGAUGACUUACGGAGUCACGUGACCUUCGCCUUAUGGGGUUCUUUGACUUUUGUUCAUUUCAUUCCUUGGCCAGUUUGGUCUCUCUUCGUCGACUCUUUUCCUGACUUGGUGGUUUUGGGUAGAUGAUGAAUCCGUCAAUAAAUAUGCCGAGAUUUUUUUUAUUAUUCAAAGAAUGGAUCAGACAGUACUCGGUCUUGUCUUUUCGUCCCUCGAAUUUUGGACAAGUCUUUUCCCCAAAGUCAACUGUGCUGCGAUUGAUCAUUCUCUUAUAUUUUCUGGGAAUUCUUUUUCCAUCAUUGUUUGCUCUGAAUUAGAUUUAUUCGAUUGAUAUCAGUUUGUUGUUAUAUAUCUACUAAAUCGUCUGUUUGGUUCCUGAUCCAAUGUCGCUUGUCGAGGUCUCUGGCGCUGAUGCCGUGGUGGCACCUAUGCGUGGAAGAGUACCAACUCCACCACCACCUCCUCCUAAGCGUAGAAGACCACCACCGCCACCACCUCCUCCUCCUCCUAUGCGUAGAAGAGUACAACCGCCACCACCACCACCUCCACCUCCACCUCCACCUCCUAAGGGUGCUGGACGAGUUCGUUGUUUUCUAAUUCCUCUAGGUCAAAAUAAGUCUUAUCAGAAGAGGACCUCGCUGAGAAGCUUAUGGGUCGAGUUAGAGGGACAAGGAGAAGCACAAACGUAUUUAGACUAACUUUUUUAAGUUUGCAUUCCUUUUUUCUUUUGCACCAGGCAGAUAAAUUCCUGAGUUUUUUUAUUGACAAUUAUAUCCUUCUUCUUCUUUUUUUUUUUUUUUUUUUUUAUAGUGCACCAGAAUUUGAUGUAUCAGAAAUAGAGGCCCUUAUCUCUGCUGCUGCAGUACAAAACCCGGCUGAUAUAUCUGCAAGUCGACGAGAAGCUUUUGAGGUAAAACCCGAUAAACUUCAAAUGGUAAUGUGAAAUUAAAAUUCUUCUUAACAUUUGGUUAUUGUCAGAUAUUUUAAUUUGCUGGAGACUCUGGUCAUGUAGCUAUAAACAAGUGACUGAAAAGCAUGUUAUGAUUUGUCAGAAAUCUGAGUAAUUGUACUAAGAAUGUCUCUAUAAGCAUAUGUUAUUAAUUUGAAAUUGACAAUACUCUGUCUUGUCGUCUGUUCAAAGUCUUUUGCACAAAGUCAACUGUGCUUUCACAAGUCUAUGCGAUUGAUCAUUCUCUUCUAUUUCUGGGAAAUGUUGUUCUAAAUUAGUGUUAUUUGAUCUAAAUCGGUGAAGAAAUCUGUUUGUUGUUAAAUAUACUAAAUCGUCUGUUUGGUUCUUGAUCCAAUGUCGAUUGUCUAGAUCUCUGGCGCUGAUGCUGUGGUGGCGCCUAUGCGUGGAAGAGUACAACUUCCACCACCACCUCCUCCUCCCCCUCCUCCUAUGCGUAGAAGAGUACCACUGCCACCACCCCCUCCUCCUAUGCCUAGAGAAACGCCACUGCCACCACGUCCUCUGAUAUGUGUAGGAGCCCCCUCACCUCCUCCUCCACCCCCACUUCCACUUCCUGCUAAAAAAAAGUCCACGCCACUGCUACCACGUCUUCUGAUAUGUGUAGGAUCCCCACCUCCUCCUCCACCCCCACUUCCACUUCCUGCUAAACAAAAGUCCUCCCUGAAGCGAUUACACUGGGUCAAACUGGCAAGGGUUUUGCCGGGGAGCGUUUGGGAUGAGUUACAGAGACGACAAGAAUGCCGCAAUAUCAAAGAUGAACAGAUUCUCUGGUAAUCCCCUGAAGAAACAAAAUUUCAAUGGAGUGAAGAAGGAAGAAUUAAAGUGCACAUAUCAUUGACCAUUGCUUUGCAACUAAUCAUCAUUUUUUUUUCUUUUUUGCUAGUGCAAUAGAACUUGAUGUAUCAGAAAUAAAGACCCUUUUCUCUCUUGUGGCUAAACCAAAACCUGAAAAAAAGCCACUGGUAAAGUGAAAUAUUCCUAACACAAUUGGUUAUUGUCAGAUAUGUUAACUUGCUCUGUUCUGGUGGAGACUUUUGUCAUAAACGAGUGACUUUUUGAAGAGUUGUUUUCUUAUAUAUGGCUUUCAAGAUUGACCUUAGGAGAGCCACUGACGUGGAAAUUAGGCUAAUGUUAUUAAAUACUCAGCUGCCUGAUAUGAUGGUAAGCACCAAAACUUACUUUACUAGAGUACAAGUCAUUUACUGGUUAAUGUUUUAAUGAUAAUUUGUUCACAUUAUUCUUUGCAUCAUCAAGGCUGCAGUUCUUGCAAUGGAUGAUGAGUCUGUACUAGAUGUUGAUCAAAUAGAGGAUCUUAUAAACCUUUUCCCAACCAAGGAGGAUAUAGAGCUUCUUAAGGUUACCUCUUGACUUUUGAGUAGCAUUGUUAUCUACUUCUGUCUUUAUUUUGGAAAUCAUUUUGUGAAAUAUAUCAAUUCUUCACUUUUUAUUGACACGAGUUCUUGUUCUUGGUCAUAAUAGACCUACACUGAUGACAAGGGGACCUUGGGAAAGUGGGAGCAGGUCUGUUGAAGUCUUGAGAUUAUCAAUCUUGCAUUGUUUUUGGUUCCUACAAUAAAUAUGGAUAGUAACUAGCUUACUCAGUUAAUUCAUUUCCUUCUGUCAUCGGUUUUGCUAUCGCAGUACGUCCAAGAGCUAACGAAGGUGCCACGACUAGAAUCAAAGCUGAGAGUAUUUUCCUUCAAGAUUCAAUUUGCCACUCAGGUCCGGUGGUAAUACCUAUAAAUAGAGUUAUGAUCUGUCUAUCUGGUUAUUUGGAGGAAAUAAAGAUUUGGUUUCAUCAGUGCCUAAGUGAAUGUAGAUUCUUGAUCCUUUUUUUCUUAUGAUGAUUACUUUGCAGAUAACAGAACUCAAAAAAGUUUUAAAUGCGAUAAAUUCUGCAUGUGAGGAGGUAAGAUUUUUGCAAUAAUCAUUAACUCUUAAGUUUUUUUGCAGUCCAUUUGCGUUUCUCUUUCUCAGACUUUUUCUUCUCAUUUCUUGUUCAUCAGGUUCGUACUUCAGAAAAGCUAAAAGAGAUUAUGAAAACUAUUCUCUGCCUGGGGAACAUAUUGAACCAAGGAACUGCCAAGGGUGAGUAUCAUAUUAUUUUAAGCUUAAGAUAUUUCCUAACGCAACACAAAAAAAAAAAUGUGGUUGAUAAAGACCCUUUGCUCUGCUUUCUGCAGGAAGUGCCGUGGGAUUCAAGUUGGAUAGUUUAUUGAAAUUAAGCGACACACGUGCUUCUAACAGCAACAUGACUCUCAUGCAUUAUCUUUGCAAGGUAAACUACAAUCGAAAGAAAGAAGCAUGCAGCAUCUAUUUUAAUGAGUGGGCUUGUUUUAGAAAUCCUCUUUUCUUUUUCCAGGUCCUUGCUUCCAAGGCAUCAGAUCUACUAGACUUCCAUAAGGAUCUUGAAAGUCUGGAAUCAGCUUCAAAGGUUUGCGAGUUUGUACGUACCUACUUUUUCCGUUCUUAGCUCAUCAUUUGGCUGUCCUGUCUAUUUCAGAUACAAUUGAAGUCUCUGGCUGAGGAAAUACAAGCUAUAAUCAAAGGAUUGGAAAAACUGAACCAGGAGCUCACUGCAUCCGAAAGUGAUGGUCCUGUUUCUCAAGUUUUCCGUAAAGUAUGUUGUUUUUCUAUCUUCUAGAUCUUUUGCAUAUCUUUUAUCAAUCAUAAAUUUGAGAUUAGGUCCAUGACUCUGCCACAUAACUAAAUCUUCCAUCAUUUUGUAAAAUCAAUAUAUACCAGCCAGAAAUAGUUCUUCAGCUAGGUUUGUUUAUCUACUUAACUUCUUCCGGAUGCUAAAAUCUAGUUUGAUGUUCGACAGUUAUUGAAGGACUUCAUAAUCAUUGCUGAGACUCAAGUAGAAACUGUAUCGAUUCUUUACUCCGUCGUGGUAACUUUUGUCAACCUCUUACUACUAGAUUCCAAGUGCCUUACCUUUGACAAUGUGUUUGAUCCCGAAAUGAUUUUUGUUAUUGUUUCUUGUGAUGGACGACAGGGAAGAAACGCUGAUGCACUUGCACACUAUUUUGGCGAGGAUCCUAAACAUUAUCCAUUUGACAAAGGUAUGCCUCGGAAACAAUAAACUAGUCCAUCCUCAUUUUUUGUGCUCGUACAUUAGAAAGUGGCUAGCUAGCUCAUUGUUAUUAUGUAGCUAAUAACAAUUAAUACAUGGUGAUCGAUAUUGCUGCAGUUACCGCGACUCUCUUGAGUUUUAUAAGGUUGUUUAAGAAAGCACACGAAGAGAAUAUCAAGCAAGCGGAGUUGGAGAAGAAGAAAGCUGCAAAGGAGAAGACGAAGUUUAUAUAACUAAAAAAGAGCAGCGGAGUUUAUAUAACUGACUAUAGUGUGGUAACUCAGAUAUUUUGUGUUGAUAUAAACAAGUUAUGUAAAUAUUUUCACUGCUUGGUGUUGUUAAAAUGUGUGGGUUGCAAAAAAAAAAAAAGAAAAAGAAAAAAGAUUGUUGAAAUUUGCAUUAAAAAAUGAUGUCAGUGCUUGUAACAAUUUUCAUAAAUGAGGAAGUAUCGAUUGCAUCAAUUAAAAUAUUUGAUACUAAUCGUUGCUCGAACUUGGGACUCUGAACAACAGAAGUCCUCCUCCCAAGUCAGCAACCGUUAUUUUAUGUGUGGACCGUUCGACAAUGUUUUUUCUUUACUAAAUUGGCCCAUUUAAAAGGCCUUCCAAGAGUCAACCGGUUCGACCGGAUGGUUUGUCUUAUAAAAUUUGAUUUUAAUUCUUUCCAAUAAAUAAGGAUUUGGUUUGCUGGAUCUGUAAAUUUUUCACUUUUUCUAAUGUACGAAAUAUGAUAAAAUCAUAAAAGAGAAUAAUUUUCUCUGACUUGGGGAAAAGUAAGGAGAUAUUAAAUGUAAGAAAAGGACAAGAGGAAGAAGAAGAAGAAUCAGAGAGAGGCGAAAAAGUAGUAUUUUUUUUUUUUUCUUUUUUUCUAAGAGUGGUCUUUUCUCACACAGGUCUCUGUCUAAGUUUUCUGAUAAAAUUCUCCAUAUUCCUGCGACCCAGUCUCUUUCUUCUCCAAAGAUAAUGGCCCAGCAGAUCUCGGAUACGCACUUCUUUCUUCAUCGACAUUGAUAAACAAAAACAUUUUUGAAAAAAGAUAUUAUAGAUCCCUGUUCUUUUGGUGGUGAUAUAUCCCACUUUCUCUUUUUUGCAUUUUCCCGAUAAAAUAAAAAGAAGCUUUUUUUCCAAGACAGCAGCUUCCUCAAGCAAAAAGAAAGAAGCUUUUAGUUAAAAUCUCAGAAUUUUGGUUAUUCUUCGGAUUUUAAAAAACUGUUCCUUUUUUCUAAAGGUAGAUCCUUUCUCUCGUUUUGAUUUUUAAUCACUUUGCUGAUGCUCGUAAGGUUUCUGGGGUUCUUCUUCGGCAGAUUUUUUGUUCUGCUUUCUUUCUUUUUUCUUAUAGAAUCUAAAAUCUGUAUUUUCUUUCAUGUUCUUCUAGGAAUCUAGCUCAAAGUUUCAUCUUUUGCUUCAUUCUAGGUCUUUAAUGUUUUGUUUUAAUACCUUCCUUGCUGCUUUAGAACCCACUUGUGAAAAAAGUGUUGUUAGUAGUCUUUGAGAUCUUAUCUUAAACCUCAUCUUCCACAUUUGCAAAUUUUGUUAGAGAAAAAAUAAAAGCAGAUUUGAUGAUGCCUUGUGGGUUUUGCUUUUUUUUUUUUUAAUGAAUUGUUUUGGUUCAUGCAAGUUUAUAAGAUUGAUUCAGGUUUCUUUCUUGGUGCAGAGUGUGAAAGUGAAUGAAGAAUGCAGCAGAACAGCUUUUUCCUUGGGUCAAACCGUGAUACUACGGAUGCGAGAACUGGCUGGAGUUUGUGUCCUAUACAGGACAUUGAUACGAAUAGAUACGGCGUUAACGUGAAUCUUAAUGAUACAUUCUCUUUCUUGUAUAGUGAUCUUUAUCUUAGACAAGUGAAGGAAGCAUUGAGACAAACCAUGCUUUUACAUGAAUCUGUCUUUGAAAGUCAGGUGCGUUUUCUUUGUAAUGCUUCAUCUUUGUUGUUUCUUGUUUCCUCCAAGUUAAGAGUUUGAUACAUUUUCAUUUCAGAUCUAUGAGCUUCAUCGUCUGUAUCGGAAGCAGAAGGAACUGAUGAUUGAAAUGGAGGAAACUCGGCAUCAUAAGGCCUUGUACUUAAAUUCUGGUUUGCAUAUCCCUAGGACACACUGGAUGAGUUCGAGCAUUUCCGCGUAUCAAACUAGGAAUUUGCCUCAUGAAGAAGAAGACAUUCCUAGACUUGUUGUAGAUAACAAGGUUGACAAGUUUGAAAAGAAGGUCUUGGAUCUUGAAGUACCGGUUUUUGAGUAUAAUGAUAUGCUUGGAGAAGUUCAUGAAGCUCAAAACUUUUUGGAAGAGCAAUCUCUGAAAAGGAUGUCUCUUGAUUCGGGUAAGCAGUUGAGUAAGCUACUACUUGAUUUGAAUGAACCGGCCAAGAUCGAGGAACAUUCAGAUUAUGUGUUCAAUCAGUUCCUAAGUACAGUUACAUCAAAUGAAAUUGAAGAAGAGUCUGAUACAAAGAAUGAGGGAGAAAGUUUAGUAGAAGGUUCCAACGGGAUGGAUGAAGCGCAAGAAUCUGUCAAAUGUCGAGAAGGUAAGAAAAUGGAAGUAUAUGUUUACAUAUAUGUUUCUUCUUUUGUUACACUUUCUUGAUGUAUUGAAUGAAGCCUAAUUGUUCUGGUAUUUAUUUUGAGCAGAGUACGGAAUUGACUUGAAUAUGUCUCCCCUUUCAUUCGUAGAAGAAAUAACUAUUGUUAAGAAGUUUGAAACCGAGAAACCUCGAGGGUCUUCUUCAGUUUCAUUGCAUGGAAAGCACGGUUCAGAGCAGCCGCGAGUGGUUGUCCAAGCGCUACCAUGUUUAACUAGCACUUUACUUUUGGACAAGCGAUAUAAGUCAUUGAUGAGAGGCUCAAGGUUAAGGAAGAAGGUAAAACGUUGUCCAAGCAAGAUAACCUUCAAAGGCUCAGAUCAUGACCCGCAAUCGAGUGCUCAAGCCACCUCAGAAUCUCAAAGCAAUCAAACGAGUAUGGAGAAAGGGAGUUCAAGUUCUUUGUCUGAGGCAAAAUCUGCAAAAAAGGGGACUAAUCUAGGAAAGAAAAGGCAUUGUAAACCACAAAUGAAAUCCAGUAAGGGUCAAAAGGUAGUCGCGAAAAGGAGUGGAAGAGUUAAACGGAAGAAGAGCAGAAGGAUAUCUCUAGUUACAGAGGGAAAUUAUCAAGAAGUAUCUGCAGCUGAGGCCAUAGUUGAUAUGUCUAGAAAGUGUGGUCGAGAAACGGCUGAUUGUAUCACUUCUUUAAGCAGAAAUCUACUUUGGUUCGCCGAGAUUUCUUCUUCUGUUGCUGAGGACUACAAAACAGAAUUUUUGGAGCUGACAGAGAAGAAGCUAGAGGAGCAGGAGACAGAUCUGAGAUUGAACUCUUUAGACAACAUAGCAGCAGUCUCCAGCAUUGUCCUUAAAAAGCAGAGGAGAAGCCGAGCCAGGCAGGGGAAGCGGAAAUGCAAAGAUGACCAGCACCAUGAUAACCCGAGUUUAGGAACAUUUUCAGAAUGUGAAGCCAAUGAGGAUCUGCAGGUAAUAGAAAAGCUAAUUGAAGCGUCUGAAUUAAAAUGGAAUUGUGGGUUCCCCAAGAACAAGCGCAAAAGCUCUCCUCCUAAACCAAUAGAUGCUUUCACUUCCUUGGGGGAAGCAAAAACGGGCGUUGACUGGGGAGCCAUAAAAAAGCGAAGACGAGGCUCUAGAAUACCUGCUGCUGAUUUUAAGCAUAUGAUCAUCAACCAAGUAGUAUAGCCAAACUAAAGAUGUAAUUUACAUUACUUACCAUAGUUUGCUUCAUGUUUUUUCGGAGAAUCAAGAAUCUUACGGAAGAUGAUGCUUUUUGUAACAAGUCUUGUUCUAGAUAUGAAGACUACAUAGGAGAUAUUAAACUGUUAGAAUAUCAGUUCAUCAAAAGGCAAUGAAUCUGUUUUAAACUGGAGAUGGUACUGAAGAAGUUAUACUGCAUAUGUAAGCAAAUGCAAAACAAAGUUAAAAGCUAGUUACAACAUCAGAGAUUAAAAGAGCGCAAGAUUUCUCUCAUGAACCAUCAUUAUCAGUCUUCUACACAUUACCAUGACCAUGGCCAUUGUGUUUUUAAUUAAUGAUUUUAAGCUUUAGUUUUUACCUCAAAAUAUAUUAUGGUUUCUGAUUUUUGAGGAGAAUGUUUAGAACCAUAUUGAUGUCUUUUUAAAAUAGAGAUUUCCAUUGAUUUUGGUUAUGACACUGUAUUAUAAUGAAUGAAACAAAUGUAUGGAUAUAAAUAUCAACCAGAAACAUAGGCAGACCAACCUAAAAAAAAAAAAAGAAACAACAGACAAACAAAUGUAUAAAUGUAUGGAUAUUAUCAAGAAUUGAGGUUUGUAAAAUGAGAGCUUUGAAGAGCUUCUUGUAGGAGUUCAUGAUCAUCCCAAGAAUCACGAUAAGUCUCAAGAUUUUCCUGUGAAUUAUUGAGAGCAGACAAACAUAGUAGCUUUCUCCAUUCUUCCAAAUGCGGAAACCCAACAUAAUCCGCAUAUUUAUCGCAAUACUAUAAGCAAAUAGAUUCAAACACAAAAAAAGUGUUAGUAGGGCAGCAAAAUCAAGAGUAAAAUAAAUGUUGAAAUUUUUGUGAGGAAGGUAUAAAUAAUAGUUACCGUGAAAUCAGCAAUGUCGUGAGUGUUGUGUUUAGGGACUCCAGCGAGAUCUCUUGACCGGUAAAAUUCAGCAACGGAUUGUAACAUUUGGUCAGAAGAAGGUAGAAAUGACUUUCCUGACAAAACUUGUGCUAUCCAUUUUGCUUGUGCUUCAAAGAAUGGGAAUCCUAUCAACUGCAAAAUACCAAAAAAAAUUUGUUAAUUUUUGUUUAGAGAAAGACUAAUGAUGUUUAGGUUAAAACCGAAAGAUAAAAAUAAAGGACGACCUUUCUGGGGAUACCGACAAAGGAGAGAGAAGGGGAGAGACAAGGAGGGAAAGUGUGUUCGAAGAGUGGACCAACUCUAUCAUCAUCCACUUCUAUUCUUCCUUUACUCUCAAGAAAUGGAAACUUGUACGAGUACCUGUGUUUUGGUCCCCCAACAUAUACAUUAUUACUAAAGUAAUAAACAAAAUAUACAUUUUGAAAGAUCUAAAAACAUAUGACAGAAGUUGAUUAUUAUUUUUUGUACAGUAUGAUGGCCCCAAGAACUAGGGGAAAUGAAUUGAGUCGACCAAUGUAAAAAAGAUUUGUAGCCCACUCAUUCUGGCUUUUACGAUUCCCACUUUUUUUUUUUUUUUUGUUAAGAAUAGUAUUUUUGUAUAAAUAACUAUGUACUAGUAUUUUUGUUCGACCGAAAGAUUUCCAUCGAUAUGAUUUUCUAGAAUAUGAAUAUCUAAGUUAAGCAAUGUCAUGCAGAUCCCAAUGAUUUAUUAUUUCUUUUCCUGUUCUUUUUUCCUUACAUGAAACAAGACCACAAUACCCCACAGAGCCACAACACAAUUAAUUAAAUUUAACUUAACUAAUUACGGUUUAACACUAUCUGAGAAACUUUAAACAUCAUCAUCUAUUUCACUAUUUGUCUUCUCUAACGGAAACAAAAAGUAGUAAUUUUAGUCUAUUCACUCAAAGUUGUUUAUAUAUGCGAAAUUUGUUUUUUAAUGAACUAAUAUUUAAUCAUAUAAAUAAAUAGAUGACGAUAAGAUUUUCCGUUUUAAUAAGUUCUAAAUCUUACCCGGUGCAAUAUAAAAUUGUAUCAGCGACGACCCAAGAUCCAUCCACAAAAAUGACUCUCCCAUCAUCCUCUAAAGAUUCAAUCUACAAAACAAAAAUCAAAGAAUGAGACUUUUAAAUCCAGCUUUAUACAUAAAAACAAAACACAUACGUUAUUAUUAGUAUAUAUUUAAGUGAAAAGAACCUGUGGAUGAAUAAGAAGGUUUGAGUGUUUGGAAAUGACUUUGGAAAGGCCAGAAGAUAUAUCAAGUGUCUUGGCACUUAAAUGAACUUCCUUUGCCACUUCCACAAGCUCCAUUGAUAUGUCUUGUCCACUCAUUGAGUUCCCAACCACCACCACCACCUAUCACCAUCAUAACCAUCACCAUCAUCAUAACCAUAACCAUUACUAAACUUAAGGAUAUAGAGAUUCAAUCACCUCAUUACUAAAUGGAUCAGGCACCCUGUAAACAUGGCUAUGAAUUUGCUUCCUUUUCCAAGAAUCCAUUCCUAUAACCAUCAAAGAAACAUGAUAAACAAAUCAAUAACCAUACAUACAUGCACAUAAAUAGCAAAUAACUAACAAAUAUCAACUACUAGACUUAUUAUUGAUAAGAUGAUUAAAUGCGAAAUAAUAUCAACAAUAAUAUACCUUUGAUAGAGGGCAAUCUAGGGUGAGAGUAAUGACCAGUAGCAACAACAACAGCAUCAAAGAUCUCUUCCAUAACCUUACCACUUAAUUUCUCUCUACUCCUCACAAUCCACUUCUUCACAUCAUCUUCUUCUUCUUUUUCUCCCACAAACUCAACCCUAACCUUAAACCUAAUCAUAUCUCUUAACCCAAAAGUUUCACUAAAGUCCUUAAGAUACAACCAAAGCUCCUUAUGCCCUGGAAACCUCCUCAUGUCUCUCCCUUUCUUCGCCAAAAACGGAAAAUCCGAAUAACCCAUUAUCUCUCUCGGUGAGGUUAGCCUCAAGGAAGAGUAAAUGCUGCUAUGGACCUUAAGUUCACCAGUAAUGGAACCACUACUUCUUCCUAAUGGAUCUUCUUCUUCUACGUUUGGUUGAUACAACCAUUGACCUCCUACGUCGUCGUUUUGCUCCAACACCACCACUUUGUGUCCUUCUUUUCUUAGCUCCCUUGCCGAGACUAGCCCCGCCGGUCCAGCUCCGAUAACACAUACCUUCUUUGAUCGGCUCCUUGAUGCUUCGGAUGUCACCGAAACCAUACUUGUUAGUUUGAAGAAAGAUUGAGAUAUUUGGAAUGCGGUUUUUUUAUUUGGUUUCUUAAUUUGUGUGGUAUCUCACCGGAUGUUGUUUUUAUAGUGAAAUUUAAGACUUCCUCACUACUACUACUCGAUAUGUCAUGUUUCUUUUUAUUUAUUUACUUUUUGCUGGUUUUAUAAAUAUUACACUACUAAUCUUUAUGCAGAUUACAUAAAAUUAUUUUGUUUAUUUCUAGAAAAUUAUAUAUUUGAGAGAGAAGACCUGCAUGACAAAUUAGAUUGACUGGUAAUAAAAAUAGUUACAAAUACGUACAUGUAAUUGUAGUUUUUGUUUUUUCCCAAAAUCUGUAUACAUUAUACAAUAGUUAAAUCUGGAUAGUAACACAACUAUAGUAUAAUUAAUAUCCUUUUUUGUGUGGUCAAAGUAUAAUUAGCUUUGUUACGUAAUUGUUACCAUUUUUAGCAUAUACAAUUGUAUAUACCAGUUUGAAAAACUCAAAGAAAAAAAAAAGAAAAAAACGGGAAAGAAUUCAGUUUGAGUAAUGAAAUGGGUCCCGAUAUGAUUUUCAAUCAAAAACUCUGACCGAUCCACCAUUCCACCUUCGUCGAUAUGACUUAUUUUGUAGGUCAAAUUCAUAUUUCUACGUGAAAACUAGUUUUUCAAAACUUUUUUCUUUCUUUAUUCCGGCAAAAGAGAUUCAUAAUUAAUAAAAAAACAUCAUUUUCCUUAGGAAACAAUUUUAAAAUUCUAUAUCAUUGCUUUGGCAUUUGGUUACUUAAUUGUAUACUAAAAAUGGUACCUAUAAUUAGAUUGGCUCUAUAUCGGAGAGAGAUACAUGUGUUUUGUUGCAUACAAAUUUAUGCUUUAUAUUCUAUUUUUCGAACAUAUAAUUUGAUUUUUCUUGAAAUUUUGAUGAGAAUUUAUAUAAAAAUUCGGUAUAUACGGACUUAAAAUAUCAAUCUUAAGAAUAUUAAAAUAAGAAAAAGUGAGACAAAAAGUUAGUAAACCCUUUCGAACGAAGUUAAAAGGAAGGUGAAAAAACAGUCUUGACUCUUGAGACACAAAAUAAUGGCUAUUGUGUCCCUCUAACUCAAAGAAAACUCCUUGCUGUUAAAAGUUGUGCUUAGGGUUUGUUGGAAACAUUACCCACCUCUAUAUAAUAUACAUAUAUGUAUGGGAAUCAAAGUGAAAUUAAAUUUAACUAUAAUAUAUAAUAUAAAGAAAUGCUUUUAAAUGUUAAAUAUUAUGAGUUUAUAUAUAAAUUUUCUAUUUUAAAUAACAAAAAUGACGAAAUAUCUACAAUAUUUUUACAAACAUGCAUGAAUGAUAUAUGUUAUAUAUAUAUAUAUAUCUGUCAAAUAUACAUAUAUGAUUAUAUAUGCAAAUAUUAUAAGUAUAUAUAACCAAAUUAUUGAAAUUGGGAGAGGAACACUAAAAUGGGUCCCCACAUAUAUAUUGGAAAGAGUAAGUCUUAAAGGCAAGGGAACAUCAACAAUUAUUUCAUUAGGCUCUUUAUGAUUCCAUCCUCCUACGAUUACAUAACCCCUCAUGAACUUUAAAACCAAACUCAUAUUUGAUAUAUAUACAAUUAAUCUUUUUAUCUCAUGAAAAUUUAGUAAGAAAAUGGAGAAAAACUCUGCAUGCAACGUAUUAGGAGUUAACGAUUUACGUUUUAAAAAUGAAUAACAUAGAUAUGUAAUAAAAAUUUAAAUAUGUAGGUUUUCUUCGAAGUUAAAUCAGAGUAAAUUAUAAGGUAAUUGAUUAUGUUUAUCUUUUACAAUAUAAAUAGUUGGUGAAAAUGAGGUUCUAAACUUUAAGAGUUUGAACACAUUUAAAAAAAUGUUCUAAACAUCCGAUUAGUAGGUAGUAGCGAUCGGUGUAAAUUUAUGGAACAUUGAAAGAUUUUUUGUCAUGGAGUAUUUUAUAUUAUUAGUUAUUAUGUAAUAAAACGAUGAUACGCAAUAUAGCAUUGGAUCCACUUUUGUUUUUCCAGUAUCUGAUUUUCGCCCAUUGGAACAUCCUUGCUUGUUAAUUACACAACAAAAAACUUUCUUUUAUUUAUUUAAUAAAAAGAAGAAGUCUGAGUAUUUUCAAUAAUUUAGUUCUUUUUAGUUGUUUUUGUCGCUUUGGAAAGACGGAAUAUCAACAUAUAUUUUUGUUAAAGAAUAUCAACAUGUAUACAAAGAAAAACUAGAGAUUUUUAUCCGAAAAAAAAAAAAAAAUUUGAGAUGUGUAAUUUACAGAAAAAUGUAAAUAAAAAUUGACCUUUACUAUAACAUAAAUGGCUGUUAACGAGAUUUUGUCUGAGUUAUCAACAGCUAUUGCAAGACACAAAAUCUAGCAAGGAAGUUCAUUAAAACUAGUAAGACACAUUUUGCUCUUAACAUGGAAAGUAUCAACGUUUCAGUACGUAAAACGGUUUUUAGUAGUUUUCGUUAUAUAUGUUUGAGUGUUACGCCAUUAAAAAAAAAAUUAGGACAACUUUGCUUUGCUGACAAGAAACUGCCGAGGAGAGAAGCUUUGAUUCCAAGCAAAACUGUGAUUACAGAUACAAGGAUACAAACAGGACCUGUGCUUUAUCAUUGAGAGGUCAAUUUACUGACAAGUCAAAAAAUGAGUUUUAUGCGGCAUGACUGAUUUUCUGAUCUAUGGAGUAGGCACUACCAGGAACUUCAACCAUUAGCUCAUCUUCCUCUUCAUCGGUAGCUGAAUCAGUCUCCUGGGAUUGGGAACAAAUGGAACAGAGUUUUAAUGCUACAUCGAGUCUCACAAUGUAUUGUAAAUAAAAGUGCUCCGUUUCAUUUAAAUAUGUCUCAUAAUCAUACCUUUGUGUUGCCUUCAGCCGGCAGUUCUUUUUGCUUUGGAUUGUUUCUGAGUUCGUUUAAAGUGUUUUUGAGUUGCUUCCUGGCUUUGGACCGUAUCAGUUUACGUUCUGCGCAUUGAGCUGCAGUGACAUUGGCAUGACAAGCCACACAGAGUGUCCUCAUGUUCUCUAGCCGGCAUUCACCUAUCAAUGAUCCAAGAAAACUUGUUCAGUCAGUUGAAUUCACAUAUUAAAACGUUUAUUGAGUGAUCUAGUGUUAGGCCUCUCUAGUGUAAGAGAUUGGGACUUACCUCCGCCUUGGUAGACUGGAAUGAUAUGGUCCGCAUGCCACGCAUUACCCUCCGUUGGUUCAUUAACCAGGGUUUCGAGCCUUGAACAUUAGAGGAGAAAAUUAAGAAAUUCAGUUUCAAAAAAAAAAGUGCACGUUCAAAUAGAAAUACAACCAAAAAGUUGGGCUUGAAUGGCUCACAAGUUCUUCCGCGCAAACAAUUCUGGAGCAACUUUGUUUAUGUAUGUACGGCGUUUUUCCAAUGGUAAAGGCCUUAACCGUCUGACAAGUUGGUGGCAGUCUAAUUCGCAGUUUGUGCAAAUUCCAUGUUCUAUCUGAAAAAGUUCCUGAGAUUUGAAACUUUACACCUCUUAGUGAUGCAUUAAAGGUGUUAAUCGAAACUCAUUUGCAUUAAACAAUGAAAGAAUAACCAAGAAAAACCUGGCGAAUGUAUCUGCUGCUUGUUCUCGUCCGGUAAUCUUCAUAGCAUGCAAGAUCACAGAAAAGAUCCUCAAAAUACUCAGGUUCUUUGGCGUUGUUUCCCCUAGAUCAAACCAAUCAUUUUAAGUUAAUUAAAAACAUUGACCAAAACUUAUGAGUCAGUAAAUACACAUGUUUUCACUCACUUGCAGGGCUUUUGACAGAGUUUACAGAGUGGUUCGUUGCUCAUACUCCAAGCUUGGGUGUAUUCUUUUUCCUUUUUUUGGUGGCCACUUCGAAGGUUGACCUUUUUCCACACUGCAUUUUCAGGUACAGGAAUACUGAUCUCAGAAAAGGGCGUGUUUCGUCUUUUGCUCCCUCCCCUAAGCAAUCCCUGAUGCAGAUAACUCUCAAUAAAGGUUUUGGAAUUAAAUAUUUGGAAAAAAAGUUUUCAGCUAAAGGAUAUACCUCGUUGUUGUGACUAGUACUUUCACUCAAGUAGCUCAACUCCAGUGAUAAAGGUAGUUGCAAAGGCUUUCCAAGUAGUUUCCGCUUUUCGAUUGGCCGUAGUGAUUUCCACUCUUUCAUAAAUUCUAAGAUAGCAAGUACAUGAACCGGAUCAUCCGUAAUGGAUUCAGGAUUUUUUUCUUUAUUGGGACCCUGACUUGGAUUGCUUGCUUCAAUCUCCUCUGGGCGGAAGUUCUGGAAAUGAGGCCUUGGUCGUGGAUCUUUCCCAAGAAUGCAAGAGUAUAAAUGAAUUCUUCCAGUGUUUUGGCUCACCUGAAAGAAUAUGAGAUCCGAUUCAUAUGUGUUUUCAGCUCCAAACAAGUAAUGAUAAUGACAUUUGUAAAAUUUCACAAUAGAAGUAAGAAUCAGAUUGCAGCUUAGAUCAAAUAAACUUAGAAAUAGAUACGAGAUUGAGUGGAUUCACCAAAUUUGGCCUCCUUGACAUGAUUAUACUUUUCAUGACCACAAAGGCAACAAGAAUAACAAGAUAAAAUAUAAAGAGCCAAUGCAGACUUUACACUUUACCUCAAAUCUGAGAGAAUCUAUGAGUGGAAAAAUGGAACUGGAAUCAAAUUCUUUCACAAGCCCGUCAUCAGCAAUAAGCUGCAUCACAAGAAAAUGUAUUUACAUUUUAGGACAUGUCAGAGAAGAAAAAUAGACCUUUCAUAAGAUUUAAGUUCAUACAUUUUUAGGCUGAUGAUUUUCUUGGUUUUCCUGGUCUAACAUAGUUAAACAAAUGGUGCCAGAAGAUCUCAUCUCAGAGCCGGAACCAUUCUCAACAAAUUUACAGACUUCUAAUAUUUCCAGAUGAGAAGUCAUGUCGUCCUGCUCAGCCAAAAAACCAAAACGAGUGAAUAUCUGAGUUUUAUAAUCAAGGAGACAUUUGGCUUGUAUACUUCAUGGUAUACGAAAGAUAAAUUCCGAGGUCAUGAAGGUCCCAACUAUUUGAUCAGUGACAAGUCAAGAGAUAAACCUUGAGAUCAAUAGUAUUUGAUACAUCUGUCUCAGAUCCCAGAUCGUCACAGCUUUCAACAAUCUUAUCAGCUACUACAGUAUUAGCUUUUGAUGGUUGUGCUUCAAGAACUUCUCUUUCACUGCUUUCUUCAUCAGGCUUGAAAAUAUAUGCUCUUUCAAUCUGCCCAGACAUAAAUUUUUAUGAUACAAAAUUACAAACUAAUGGCCGUCAUGUGAAUAAACCCCUGUGGUGUGAACAUCUAAGGCCAAGGACAGUAAUCUACUGAGAAUUGAGAAAAAGAGCAGAGAUUUGGGAGGUACUUCGAUUUCGGUCUUCCCAUCAUAUUUUCCAUCAGUGGUAGAUGAAAUACGGUGCAACUUCUUGUUCAGAUUUUGCCAAUUUGACUCAUCCAUAGUAUCCUAUAAAAUAAGAGUCGCUAUUCAAGUAGUGGAUAAGACAAACUUCAAGUAACUAGUAUAGCAGCAGCAAACGAGUUUACCUUUGCGCAGAAGAUGUAUACAUUGACUGCACUUGUUUGGCCUCGCCUAUGUGCUCUAUCCUCGGCCUUCAAAAUGUAAUCAAUUGAUUAUGCAUUUAGCAGCCUUACUGCAUUUUGCUCUAUAGGUUGAGGAACGAGAACAAGAAGUUAAGAGUAUAAAAAACAGUAGUACAAGAAAAAUACCUGAAGCAACAGUGACGGUGUUUUAGGCAAUUCAAGGAACACAACAUUUUGUGCUGCUGAAAAAUCAAGUCCAACUCCUCCAGCUUCUACGCCAAUUAUUGCAACUUUUACCUAGAGGGGAAAGCCAUAGCAUAAGUCAAAUACCACACAUCCUAACAAGCACAAUCAAUUCAAGAGUUAUAAACGUAUAGGAGAUGUGCAUACCUCACUAGAAAACUGAAAUGACUGUACAGCCAAUUGUCUAUCUCUUGGCAACGUCAUCCCAUCAAUGCGGACAAAACCAAUCCCUUUAUCACACAUAAAUUCCUGAAAAGCAAUAAUCAAUAAUGAAAACGAAAUAAGCAAAAUACUUGUUCAAAACAUGUUAAGCUAGCAGACAGAUAUAAAUUUUUGAACUUUCAAGGAGUUAAUGAUAAGAAUGAAGCAUACUAACCUGAAUUCCAUCCAGAACCUUAUGGUGAUGAGCAAAAACGACCAUUUUAGUUGAGCUCGUGUCUCCAUCAAUAUCUUCUGGGGUAUAAUCCAAUCCUGAUAGAAGUGGAUGUAGAGAUAACCAUUCACGAAAGGCAGAAAGCUUUGCAAUGCCAAGUUGUUGAUAGGAAAGUUUCCCACAUAGUUGAUUCUCUCUGUCAGCUAAAGAACAAAAAAAGUAAAAAAAUGAAAAAAGAGUACAAAUAUUUGCAAAAAGAAUUAUCUCCUUGACAUCUAUGAAAACGAAAUAAUCAAAACAUACAGUUCGGACCAUCAGAAUUCUCUGCAUUUACAUGUCCAGCUUCAUUUGAUCCUUGAGCAUUUUGAUCUAUACGAGGCAGCAUGUGUUAAAACAUUGUAUUGACCACAGUAGUUAACUAGAUCUAAACUCCAAGAAACUUGAGGUUUGUGUUACUGGUAAAAAUAAAAUGCCUUGAAUACUGAUGAUAAAAACAAUUCAACAUCAUUACUAGAUUGGUAUAAAACAUGCCACAUACCUUUAGGUUCAUGUGAGUUCUCUGUGACUUCUGCUAUAGUACCAUCAUUCUGUUUAUUAGCCUUCUGAUUAGCCUCACUGACAAUAGCCGUUGCUAAAGCUAUAUCAGACUUCUUUAGCAAGAUGGUUACGAUUUGCCUACGUUUUGGGGGUAGCUGUGUUAACACAUGCUGUUUCAGUCUUCUUAUCUAUAACAAACAAAAAGGAAUUUCACAUCACAUAGUUAGUUCUCCACAAACUCACAACACAUUACAAGAAACUUUGGCAUAAUAUAUCAGUGAUAUCAUUUCAUUUCUUUAUUUCUUCACAAAAUUUCACGAACAGCACGAGGCAAUAAACAGAUAGUUAACUGAACUGUGAAUGUUGGAACAUGGGAAUGCUUUCACCCAAACAUCUAAAUUAAAUUGUCUUCAUAUUUAUCUAGAAAUACUUAUAAGUUGUAAAACAUUCAAAUUAUGGUUUGAGGGACUUGGUCGGUCCUAUUUGAAUUCUGGGGAAAAUUCAAUUAGAAAAAAACAAGUUUCCCAGUAUCGACCAUUGUUACGGAACCAUUAAUGCCAAACUGAAAUAGAAGAACAAGGAUUUACCAUCACUGUUUGGUUUAGCAGUAUGUUUAACUCCAGUAAGCGAGUACCCUUUGAAAAAUCCUGCAUCGUCGAACAAAAGAUUUGUUACCAUCUCGCAACAUUAACAAAAAAAAAACUAAGAGAGGGGAACCAAUGUUCAUAUCAGAAAGGAAGCGACUGAAAAGAAAUAAAACGAAGUAUGAUAGCAACAUCCUCUAUGGGUGACGAUUUACCAUGCAAUGGGAGUAUUAUGCACUUAAAGUAUGGGCUACCACAUAAAGUCCAUAUUUACCUGGAAAAUCUUCCCUUGCAUACCUCUGACAAGCCCAACUUCACAAUAGGUUUUCGCAAACUCAUACUUUUCUUUUCCCAGCAAACCAGGCCUGGUGACAGAAUCAGUGUUAGAAAAGGGAAGUAGUGCAAAUACAAAAUUUUUAUAUCAAAGUUUGCAGAUGACUUGCCAUAGGAUGUUUAUCUGAUGGAAAAUGUCGAAGGGCCUGUGGUCACCUAGGAAACAAAUUUAAGGAUAAAUUACAAAUUCGAAGUAAACAGAAGAUACUGAUUUUACACAGAGUUAAAUUUCCACAACCUCGAUAUAGAAGGAGUUCCUGACAACAGAACUAUGUGCUUAACCUUUUCAGCAACAUUAAGGACUGUCUUUAUCUGCAAAACAUACCGAAAGUAUUUUGACUACCAACCUUUUUUUUAAAAAGCACAAAAUCUCCACUCAGAGUUAAGGAUGUCCCAUGGAGUGUUAGAGAAAGUGUCACUGAAUCAUCUCUGUGUUUAUCAAACGUUACUAAAGUCAACUAGGAAAUCAUAGAAAAAGGGACACAGGACGGCAUGCUAGAAAAUCUCACUAGUGAGGAAAACGAUUGCAUACCUCAGGUGGAUCUGACUUUUUUUUCGAACACCGUAGAUGAUGAGAUUCAUCUACUAUCAAGAGGGCCCAUUCUCGCUCAAGCAUGGUGGUCCGGAGAUGCUGAAGCAUCUUGUAUGAGAUAACCACAACUUUUGGCCAUCUUGGUAAAUAGGCAGGAUUAUCUUGAUGACCGAAUACUGAACCAAAAAGUUUCAUCAAACACAACUCGAAUUGACAAGAUAGCCAAUUAACAGCUCUAAAACUAAAUUAAAGCUUUAGCUUUAGAGCUCCAGUGGAGAAAAAAAGUAUUUGAGACAUAUAUUGCUAAAUUGCAAUUCUGUAUCCCACCAGUUAAUAUGUGUAGGACUUGGCAGUGAAAGAUAAAACCAGAAAGGAAAAGCAAAAAUAUUAAUUCUGUAUUCAACUAAUGUAGCUAACAAGAUCAAGACACAGAAGUUUAAAAGAGAAAAGGUAAGCAAUUCAGUAGAGACUUUUACCGAGAUGUAUGUCAGAAGGCAAACAAAAUGGCAACCAGCGUUCCAAUUCUUCUGCCCAUGAGAAACGCAGAACAGCUGGACAGACAACAAGUAUGGAACCCUCACUUAUGAAGCAACCAGCAAUGGCAAUGGCCUAACACAAGAUUGAACACUCAGAUUAACUGCUUUACCAAACUACUAAGAACUUCAAAAUUUCUUCACAAUACCAAAUAUAUCACCUGAAGCGUCUUUCCAAGCCCCAUUUCAUCAGCAAUGAAGCACCUGCCACCUCUCCGUAAACCAAAUCUUAGACCAUCAAGUUGGAAAGGCAAAAGGGCACUCACCAAUUUUCUUGGCAGGGUUUCAAUCAGUUUUUCAACCUUCUCCUCCGUAUAAUGUUCAGGUAUACAAGGUUGCCAUUUCCCAGAAAUGAAUGACUGGGAAAGUUUCUCAACAACAGCCAACGUUUUCCAAGGUAUCUCUUCAACUUCAACGCUCUUGGACCUUUUUAGACAUCCAGAGACCAUAUUGUAGUCCCUAAUCUUAUAAACCCCAGCUUUUCCUCCGUCAUCAUUUUGAGUGUAGUGUAAAGGAAUCGCCUGAAAGUAAAAUCAAUUACAAUAUCAACAAGAAGAAUCCAACUUCGUUCUUCGCAUUAUACCAAUAACCCUAAAAAUUCAGAGACUCAAAAUUUCCCCUUUUCGUAAAUUUCUCUUCUACAUUUUGUCACCCCUUAACAAAAAACAAAACUUUACGCGAGAAAAUACAAAGAAGAACUUACCUCAGAUAGAAUCUCUCUCAAUUGACGAAGACACUCUUGCUCUUCUGGGCAUCGAAACCCUUGCAAUUGAACCGGCGUAACCGAAAACGAAUCAGGAGAACAGAUCUCGAGCCUGACGCGGAACUUUUCCGGUACACUAGUACUCAAUCCUCGUUCCGGUUCGUAGUUCCGAUACCCUUCUUGAAAACAGACAUCGUUACCACCGUCGAGCUUUCGACAUUUAGCUAACCUGAAAUCUUGUUGUCGCUGUGGGUUUUCCGAAGAAUCAAACGACGUCUUUCGUUUCUCAGAAAAAGCUAACCGAUUCGCUUCGUCUCUCCGCCGUUGCUCUUCGGAAACCUCCAUUGAUUGAAUCUGAGAGCUGAGUUGUGUGAAGUGAAGAGAAGACGUUUUGAAUUUUGAAAAUUGAAACGAACGAGCAUGAACAAGAGAAGAGUGCGGGUGCGAAGAAACCACACGUGUUAACUACGCACGUGUGAAUUAAAAUUAAAUCCGGUUCGGUACGAAGAAAAUCCAAUCAAACCGGAUUCCUAAUUUUACGACAUAUUGGAUUUGAUUGGAUUUACAAUACAAGAUUCUUCAUGAACAAGAUUCUUUGAAAAGUUUACAUUACAAGAUUCUUCAUGAACAAAAAAAAAAACAUUUUUUUCUCAUUUCAACGACUUUAAAUUCACAACUUUGAUCUCUUUCUUGGAUUUUAAGCUCAAGGACUAGCCGCCUUCAAUGACUUGUGAAGAUGUGGAUUUGCUCUUAAUCUUCUUCUUCUGAGAUGUUCUAUUGUUAUCUUGAAGAGAUAUUACAGUUUCAAAAGCACCAACCAAUGCUUUAACUUUACUCUUCCUCACUUCUUCAAGCUUAUUCACUGUCUCUUCAAUCACAUUAUUGAAAAGUGUCUGCAAUUUCUUCUUCACUUCCACUUUUCUAUGCCUCAAAACAACUUUCUCUCGUUUACCUUCACCGUUAAUCUUCCCAACACCUUCUCUUUUAUCUUUCAGGUUCUUCUUCUUUUUGUUCACAUCACUUCUGAGUUUUGGUUCUUGAACAACUCUCUUCUUGAAUUUGAUCGAUGUUGUAGUGGAAUCUUCUGGUUUUGGUUCAAGAACUUUCCCUUUCUUGAAAUUCAUUUGCUGUUUCGUUGGAGGAGGAGGUGGAG